rnacentral:sRNA from 1 species
CAGUCGCGGUUGUAAUUGACCAGGGAGCAGGCGGAG